rnacentral:rRNA from 1 species
AGUGAACGCUGGCGGUGGGCCUAACACAUGCAAGUCGAACGGCAGCACAGUAAGAGCUUGCUCUUACGGGUGGCGAGUGGCGGACGGGUGAGGAAUACAUCGGAAUCUACUUUUUCGUGGGGGAUAACGUAGGGAAACUUACGCUAAUACCGCAUACGACCUACGGGUGAAAGCAGGGGAUCUUCGGACCUUGCGCGAUUGAAUGAGCCGAUGUCGGAUUAGCUAGUUGGCGGGGUAAAGGCCCACCAAGGCGACGAUCCGUAGCUGGUCUGAGAGGAUGAUCAGCCACACUGGAACUGAGACACGGUCCAGACUCCUACGGGAGGCAGCAGUGGGGAAUAUUGGACAAUGGGCGCAAGCCUGAUCCAGCCAUACCGCGUGGGUGAAGAAGGCCUUCGGGUUGUAAAGCCCUUUUGUUGGGAAAGAAAAGAAGCAGGUUAAUACCCCGCUGUUCUGACGGUACCCAAAGAAUAAGCACCGGCUAACUUCGUG